UUGGGACUUUGAGGGUGCUAUUUUCUUUUGUUUUCUUUUGAUUUUGCUUUUGAUUUCUUUUGAUUUUGCACCCUCUCUUUCUUUGUUUUUUUUUUUUUUUUUUUUUUUUUUUUGAUUGAUUUUUUCUUUUUUUUUUUUUUUGAUGCCCCAGUUGGCUGUUCUGCUGAUUCUCGAGAUGCAGCUGAGUGAUCUUCUUUUCUUGCUCAAGAAGUCGGGAAAUCUCGUCAGG
rnacentral:lncRNA from 1 species